GAUGAACGCUGGCGGCGUGCUUAACACAUGCAAGUCGAACGGGAAUUCUUUUAUUGAAACUUCGGUCGAUUUAAUUUAAUUCUAGUGGCGGACGGGUGAGUAACGCGUGGGUAACCUGCCUUAUACAGGGGGAUAACAGUCAGAAAUGGCUGCUAAUACCGCAUAAGCGCACAGAGCUGCAUGGCUCAGUGUGAAAAACUCCGGUGGUAUAAGAUGGACCCGCGUUGGAUUAGCUUGUUGGCAGGGUAACGGCCUACCAAGGCGACGAUCCAUAGCCGGCCUGAGAGAGUGAACGGCCACAUUGGGACUGAGACACGGCCCAGACUCCUACGGGAAGCAGCAGUGGGGAAUAUUGCACAAUGGGGGAAACCCUGAUGCAGCGACGCCGCGUGAAGGAAGAAGUAUCUCGGUAUGUAAACUUCUAUCAGCAGGGAAGAUAGUGACGGUACCUGACUAAGAAGCCCCGGCUAACUACGUG
rnacentral:rRNA from 1 species